UAAGACGUAGGGCGCGAGCGUUGUCCGGAUUUAUUGGGCGUAAAGAGCUCGUAGGCGGUGUGUCGCGUCGGCCGUGAAAACCUGCAGCUUAACUGUGGGCUUGCGGUCGAUACGGGCAUCACUGGAGUUCGGCAGGGGAGACUGGAAUUCCUGGUGUAGCGGUGAAAUGCGCAGAUAUCAGGAGGAACACCGGUGGCGAAGGCGGGUCUCUGGGCCGAUACUGACGCUGAGGAGCGAAAGCGUGGGGAGCGAACAGGAUUAGAUACCCUGGUAGUCCACGCUGUAAACGAUGGGCACUAGGUGCCGGGGGGAGCGACCCCUUCGGUGCCGCAGCUAACGCGUUAAGUGCCCCGCCUGGGGAGUACGGCCGCAAGGCUG
rnacentral:rRNA from 1 species